ACAAGCCCAAUCGGGUUUCAGCAUUGAACACAGGACACUCGCCAUGGACUUAUGGCUCAUAUUUGUUUCUUUUGUUCUUAUUUUAAAAGGUGUCCAGUGUGAGGUGCAGUUACUGGAGUCUGGCGGAGGCUUAGUGCAGCCUGGAAAGUCCCUGAAACUCUCCUGUACAGCCUCUGGAUUCACCUUCAGUAGCUACUGGAUGGACUGGGUCCGCCAGGUUCCAGGGAAGGGACUGGAUUGGGUCGCACAGAUUAAUAAAAAUGGCGGUAGUACCUGGUAUACUGACACUGUGAAGGGCCGGUUCACAAUCUCCAGAGACAACGCCAAGAACACUCUGUACCUGGAAAUGAGCAGUCUGAGAUCUGAGGACACAGCCAUGUAUUACUGUGCAAGAGACACAGUGGAGCAGCAACACUGGGAUUCAAGGUUUGACUUCAGGCUCAGGUCCUCCCUUACCUUGAGCAAGCUUCUGAAGACAUCCCAGUUCCCAUUCUUCCUUAAGAUCCCAGUGAUUCCCAAAGCAUCAAAGGCAGAUAACACAGCUCAACAGACCUGUCUUCCUUUUUUAGAGGUUGUAACAGACACUGUUACACUAUGUGCACUGUCCCAGGUCCAGGUGAAGGAAUCAAAACCUGACCUGGUGCAGCAAUCACAGACCCAGACCUUGUCUCUCACCUGCACUGUCUCUGUGUUCUCAUUAACCAGCUGUCAUGUACACUGUGUCCACCAGUCUCCAGGAUAG